rnacentral:rRNA from 1 species
UACGGAGGGGGCUAGCGUUGUUCGGAAUUAUUGGGCGUAAAGGGCGCGUAGGCGGCCGGAUAAGUCUGACGUGAAAUCCCACGGCCCAACCGUGGAACUGCGUUUGAAACUGUCUGGCUCGAGUCCGGGAGAGGGUAGUGGAAUUCCCAGUGUAGCGGUGAAAUGCGUAGAUAUUGGGAGGAACACCGGUGGCGAAGGCGGCUACCUGGACCGGUACUGACGCUGAGGCGCGAAAGCUAGGGUAGCAAACAGG